UCAGAAUUUGUUUGUUUUUGUUUUUUCCAAAUGAUAAUCCGGCCCCUCAACAGUCUGAAGGAUUGUGGGCCGGCCCUCGGCUUAAAAAGUUUGGGGACCCCUGUUAAAGAGGCUUCUUGUUUCAAAGCUGUUUUUCUACUGUAGAGGAGAGGCGCUCAGCUGCAGGCAGGCACACACACUUUAAGGAGGUUUCUUAUCUUCUAUUCUAAAGGAGAGGUGCUGCAGGUAGGUGCCCAUGCUUUAUCUCCCAGGCCUGUAUGUCACACACACACUUUCCAAGGCAUUUAAAGGAGGCAAGUUCUUAAAGCUGUUUCUUACUGUAGAGCAGAGGCAUUGCAGCCAGACGCGCAUGGCCUUUCUCUCCCGGACCUGCACGGCCAGCAGCCAUGCACUCUUUCCAAGGCAUUUUAAGCAAGCUUCCCACUUCCAGUUUGAAGAUUAUCGAAAUAGUAUGAAACCCCUUAUUAUUACAUUUCCAUGGAAGAACACCAGAUAG
rnacentral:lncRNA from 11 species